rnacentral:ncRNA from 1 species
AAGGUCAUGCCGUGCCUAUAGAUUCCCAUGUUAAAAUAUCAUAUCUGCCAAUUCUCCCGUAUUGUUAGAUCAUGUCCUGUUGACUUUUUUAGUGCCAAGGGCCUGGCCCCAUGCCGAGCAUAACUGGACAAUGGCAGGUGCGAAUUUGAGCAGGCAGGUACACCUGGCAAACUGUAAAUACAGGUGUCAUAAGGCAAGCUCAGGGAGGACAGAAAACUCUGAUGGACCAGAAAAGCAAAAACUUCACUUGAUCUUGUUGUAGCUCAGGAGGUAGCUCAGGUUAUCCACUAAUCGGGGGGUUGGUGGUUUGAUCUAUGGCAAACAUCCUUGGGUAAGAUACCAAUCCCAAGUUGUUCUCAGGUGCAUCCAUCGGAGUGUGAAGUAACUUACACAGAAAAAGUGCUUGGAUGAGUGAGCAUGUUGUAUAUUCACCAAAGCGGGCCUGACGAUCCUUCUGACUCUUGGGGUUUUAAGCAGGAGGUGUCCGAAAAGUUCCAACAGGGAUAACUGGCUUGUGGCGGGAAAGCGUUCUUUGGUCGCGUUUUUGAUCCUUCAAUGUCGGCUCUUUCCGUCACUGUGAAGCAGAAUUCAACAAGCGUUGGAUUGUUCGCCCACUAACAGGGAGCAUGAGCUGGGAUUAGUCAUGACACAGGUUAGUU